CCUGUCUACAGGAUACAUUCCAGAUUUCCUAAAAGACUCUUUCACACGUGCUAAGGAUAAAGUCUGGUCAAUUGCAGUGCUGGAAAUAAAAAUCAUACCCAUUAUUCGAGAAGGAAGAAUUUAUAAAGUGAAAAGUAGUUAUAAGAUGCUUAAUGAAAGGAUACAGCUAGUAACUACUGAGACCGAUGGAAAUCAAUACCUUGUUGAUUUGAAAAUCAUGAAAAUAUGAAUUAUUCUGCCAAGGUGAAGAGGAAGCGUGGAAUCAUAAAUUUUGGUUGUGUAUAUCAUUCUAUUUAUCAGGGACCAAAGAUGGCAACAUCAAGGGGCUGAAGCAGAUGAGUAGUGUGUGGUGGUAAGCCAAUAAUGUGGAUGUUGUUUGCCUUAGCCUUUUCAAUCAGGUCGAUACUAAUGUGUGAGUCAUGGUUGUCAAAUAUUAAUAACACUGGUCUUCUGGUUCCACAGAAUGGGAGGAACACUUUGUCAAACCAGUUUUCAAAUAACUCUGUGUCCAUAUAACCUGAUUCAGAUGAGCCGUACAGCCAGGUAUCUGGAACACCAUCUUUAAAGUUCCUGUGUGGAAGGCAGUCGUCAAAAAUGAUAAAAGAUGGAAGGACAUGUCCAUCAGCACCUAUGCACAUAUGUACAGUGAUGUGACCAUGCACCAUCACUUUUUGCUGAUAACUAUGGGAACCUUUUAGUGUUAAAACUUUUUCUUUACUUUUUUCUUUGCCACUGAACCCAGAUUCAUCACAAUUAAAGAUUUGGUUAGGUU